GAACUGAAGAGUUUGAUCCUGGCUCAGAUUGAACGCUGGCGGCAUGCCUUACACAUGCAAGUCGAACGCGAAAGUGGGGGCAACCCU
rnacentral:ncRNA from 1 species